AAAUAAUGCCACUAAGAAGAAAAAUGGUCACAUGGAAAAUCCCACUGAGAAAAUCAUCUCUUUUUCAAUGGAGUCACUGAGGUGUGGUUGGAAGGGCUUGGACUGAGUCAGCAAACCUCUGGUUAAAAGUUAUUAAGACAACUCGAGUGUUUACCCWCGUGUGGGUGGUCCUCAAAACCCAGCCAUCUUGUCUCAGUGGACUCACAGCACUUUUAAUGACCCCCGAGUUCAAAAACCUAAGAUGGACUGAUCUCAUCCAAUAUUGCUGCUUUAUUAGGUGAUGUCCCUGCUUCUGUAGGAGCUCCAUCUGGGAGUGUGACCGGG